AGUUUCAAGGGAAGGCAUAUAAAGUAGAUGGGAAUUGGGAUAUAUAAACUUUCUGUUGAUACUAAAAGAAUAUAUAAGAAUUAUCGGCGCAUUUUUACCGGCAGCCAACAUAAACCGCCGAUGUAAAAUUUGAAUCCCUGGCGCUUCCGUGUGGCCACCCCUAAUGUAGGGAACGACCACCGACAAAAGUAUUUACAAGCGGUCACAAAGCCGGUGGUCACCAAAACCACCAGUAAAAGUCUCCCAAAAAACAGCCUUGAGUUCUCUCUCUCUCUCUCUCUCUCUCUCUCUCUCUCUCUCUAAAAAAAAACUGUAAAGCUGUCCCUCAAAACGCCUCUUGAAUCCCCCUUCCCACCUCCUCUUCGAUUUCUCCCAAAACAUCGAAAUCUGUACAAAAAUCGAUUCUUUUCUCACACCCAUCUUCUCAAAAUCACAUUUUCUUCAAUACCCACCUGCUCAAAAUUGCAUUUGUCAACCCAAGAAUUUGGAGAAUUUUCCUCGAGUAUUUUCUAUAUUGCUUCAACCCAAAGGUGGGUUUAAAUAACCAUUCUACAAGAUUAUACAAGGAAGUUUAUUUAGAGCUUCUCCAUACAUAUUAUAUUACAACUAGUGAUAACCCAUGACAACUCAUAUACACAAUAUUCUCACACACCCCCUCAAACUGAUGUGGGAUAAUGAACCAACAUCAGUUUGCCACGAAGAAACCUAUGACGGGAUGAGGUCAUAGUUUUGGUACAUAAAUCAACAAGUUGUAGCUCUGAUGUCACAUGAGGAAGAGAAAUGAUUCCAGCUGUGUAUUUUUCUCUCAAAAAGUGACAGUCAACUUCAAUGUGUUUAGUGCGCUCGUGAAAUACUAGAUUAGAAGCCGACUGAAUGGAACUGAGGUUGUCAGCAUAUAAUGGAGUUGUCAAAGACAAAUGAAUCCCAAGAUCUGUUAACAAUCCCCGGAACCAAGUAAUUUCACUACAUGCUUCUGCCAUUGCAUUGUAUUCGGCUUAUGUGUUGGAUCUAGAUACCGUGAUUUGCUUUUUAUACUUCCAGCUAACCAAUAAUUGUCCCAAGAAAACACAAUAGCCAGUAGUGGACCGUCGUGAAAUGGGACAUCCUACCCAAUCUGCAUUAGAGUUAGCAGAUAAUUGUAGAUCGUGCGAUGAUGGAAAGAGAAGCGUCUGAUCGAGAGUACCUCAAAGGUAUCGAAUAAUGUGACGAACUACCGUCAUAUGCAAUUUACAAGAUGCCUCAACAAACUGGCUAACAACAUGAACUGCAUAUGAGAUAUCAGGAUGAGACAUAGUGAGAUAGACUAAGCUCCCUAUUAGCUGCCUAUAGGAUGUAACAUCUGAGAAGUCUCCAUCAUCUUUCCCAUACUUGACAUUUAAUUCCAUAGGAGUCUCAUAGGUAUUAUUAUCUAUAAGGUUCGCUAGCUUGAUUAAAUCACGGGUAUACUUUCGUUGACUCAUGAGAUAACAUUAAGUAUUACGAGAAAUUUCAAGACCCAAAAACUAUGUUAAUGGCCCCAUGUCCUUCAUAUGAAAUGAGGAGUGAAGUAAUAAUAUGAGAUCGGCAAUUCCUUGAACGUCACUGUGUGUGAUGAGAAUAUCAUGCUCUUGAUGCUUGUUUGAGCCCAUAUAAAGCUUUAGAUAGCUUGCAAACUAAGCGCGGAUCCUUAUUCCUUAGACUUAUAACCGGGAUGUUGCUUCAAGUAAACUUCUUCAUUGAGAUUCCCAUGGAGGAAAGCAUUCUUGACAUCGAGUUGACUGAGUUGCCAACCUUUAGAAGAACUUAUAGCAAUCAAGGAACGGACCGUUUUCAUUUUUUCCACUAAAGCGAAUAUCUCAUCAUAAUCAACUCCGUACUCUUGUUUAUAGCCCUGAGCCACUAGCCGAGCUUUGUAUCGAUCUAAGCUCCCAUCAAACUUUAAUUUCACAGUAUAUACCCAUUUGCUGCCUAUCACUUGCUUCCCCUCAGGUAAUGGAACAAGCGUCCAAGUAGCAUUAUCUUCGAGAGCCUGAAUCUCAUCAUCCAUGGCCUUUACCCAACACGGUUGUGUAUAUAACUGAGAAUAAGUAGGGAUAACCAAAGAAUCUAAUCCAGAAAACAAGACAUGAUAAGAGGCAAAAAGAUUUAAUCGACAGGGAGGAACAAAUGGAUGACUAGAACAAUGUAAUUGGAUCUCAUUGGAAGGUGGGACAAUUACCUGCACUAUAGUAUAAGAGGACACCUGAUCGGAAGCAGGAACAGCUGUGGGAGAGGACCCAAAAGAGAUAGGCUUCACACGGCGUUGGUAGACCUGCAAAGGAGGAGAGGAAGAAGGAAGCAUAGAACGAUUUUCUUCAAAAGAUGACAUAUGAGAAAUGGAAGAUGGAACAACGGUAACUAAUGGAGAUGCAUGGACAAAUUUAUAGUAUAGCAAAUUUUUAAAGAAUGUGACAUGUCUAGACACACGAACAUGAUGAGCACAUAGACCAUAACAACGAUACCCUUUCUGAUGUUCCCUAUAUCCAAGAAAUACACAUUUAGUUGCCCCGGGACUUAGUUUAUCACAUUCUCAUUCUGGAAGAUGAACAAAAGCAAUGCAUCCGAACACUCUUAACCGGCUAUAAUCUGGAUCUUUAUCAUGAAGGAAAAACGCGAGAGUUUUUCGGUUGGCCAAAACACUGGAAGGUAAUCGAUUGAUCAAAUACACAAUUGUUGAUUUUGUUUCAGCCCAAAGAAAUUUUGGGACACGUGCAUAUUCCAUCAUGGUGUUUGCUGCCUCAAUAAUGUGCCGAUUCUUUCGUUCCGCUACUCCAUUCUGCUCCGGUGUGUGAGGACACGUUCAUUGAUGUAUAGUACCAUUUGAACUUAAAAAAGUCUUAAACUCGGAAGAUGUACUCUCCCCCAGAGUCAAACCGAAGAACUUUAAUUUUCUUUGCAAAUAGGGUCUCCACAUAUGAUAAAAAUUGUCUGUAACAUGAGAAUGUUUCAGAUUUGUGCUUCAUGAAAUAAAUCCAAGUGUGCCUUGAAAAGUCAUCCGUAAAGAUGAUGUAAUACAAUGAACCACUAGGAGCCAUGAUGGGGGAUGGACCCCAAACAUCAGUAUGAAUGAGAUCAAACAGAUUUUGAGUACGAGAGUUAAUGAAAAGGGCAAUGUAGUAGAUUUACACACUUUGCAACUAACACAGUUCAUAUCAAUGGAAAUGGGACUAAUAUUUAUUUCAUCAUUCAAAAGACCAAAUCUUAAUAAGAAAAGCAUGUUUUUAGAAUUUGGAUGCCCUAAACGACUACGCCAAAGUUUCCAGCAUUUAUUAGUAAAAGAAAUAUCAUGAGAAGAUGGAAGAAAAAAACAACGCGAUGAGACAACUCCGAGAUCAAACUCCAAAGUAAACAACCUUCCUCUCUUAUGGUCAUUCCCAAUCAGCUUCCCUGUUUCCAAAUCCUGUAUGAAACAAUCAGACCAAGAAAACAAAACCAAACAAUUAUUUUCCACUAGUUGAGCAACUGAAAUCAAGUUGGCAGAUAAUUUAAAAACAUAAAACACUUUGCAAAGGAAGAAAUUGCAAGAUGAUAAAGGUGAGACUUUCAAGGAACCGAUAUGAGAGAUAGGUAAAUGGUUCCCAUCCGCAGUGUAGAUGGAACCCACUCCUCUAUAGGGGACACAAUCGUUAGACAAGAAAGGUCAACAGUUAUAUGAUUAGAUGCCCCCGAGUCAAUAUACCAGAGGUUUUUAGGAUCAAUAUUACCUAUCGAACUUGAAGAACCCAUCGUUUGAUGGAUUUGCUGAAUUUGUUUUGGGGAAAGUAGAUUAGGCAGCACCGAUAGGGCCAUAGAUGAUGAGUCGGGCUUCUCAGGAGAGGAAGCCAGAAAUGAACAUCUACGUUGUUGGUAGUGAAGGGGUAGAGGAGGGUGAGUCAGGAAAUUAGCUAUUUCAUGUCCUUCUUGUUUGCAAUAUUGACAAAACAGAGUACUUGGUCCAGAUGAUUUUAGAUUUACUUUCUUGUUAAGACAACGAAUAGCCACAUGACCAAAUCCAUUACACUCAAAACAUGUAACUUUCGACAUGUUUCACAACUUCCCUGAAAAAUUGCAAGUAAUGAGGGCAGCAUCAGGAACAACCUCUCUCAUGGAAGCAAGGGUCUUCAAAUGUCUCUUCUGCCAUCAAAUCAGAUAGUUGCCUCAAGAGAUGGAAGGCCGAUUCAUCAAAGCGACUCUGGUUGGUUCAAACUCCGGACGAAGUUUAUAUAGAAAUUGCAUCAAUUUACUUGUGUCGCAAAGUAUCUUCACUGUCUCUACCACCAUAGCAGGAAUAAUUAGAUCCAUAAGUUGAAUCUCAUGCCAAAGGGAGGUAAGUUUAGAAUAAAAUCUUGUAUACUCAAAGCUCCUUAUUCUAAUUUUGACAGGUCAUACUGUACUUGAUAGCGAUAGGCGUGAUUUGAUUGUUGAUAACACAUUUUCAAGUAAACCCAUAUUUUGGAUGCAUUCUCGAACGAUGUGAGGUUAAUUGCAAUGUUGCUCUCAACACUGUUAAGGAUCCAUGUGACCACCUUUGAAUUAUUGGUGGUCCAAGGUAGGAGUUCUUUUUCAUCAUUUGGUUUGCCCAUAGAACCAUCCACAUAGCCGUAAAGGUUCUUUUCUGCUAGAAAAUGCUUGAAUUGAAACUACCACAGGGAAAAAAUUUUCCCAUCCAACCUAACAUAGAUAGUUUCGAUCUUAUUGGAGGGAUUCAUGGAUGUCAUAAAAAAUUAACCACGAAGAAGAAAUGUAUCACUGAAUUUUGGUGAUGUAGAGGUAGUGCUACUGUCGUCGAUGGAGAAUAAUCUAUUGGGGGAUUCGUCGAAUCAGGCCGGAAGCGGCAUGUCGGAAAAUGGAAUGAAACAGAUGGAGAUCUGUUGAAGUUAUUGUCGUCGGGAGAUGAAUAGUUCUGUCGAAACGGCAAGAGAAUGCAAUUUGCGGCGGCAGGAUUUGUGUAGGAAAAUGCAAUCUCUGGCGAAAUUGGCUGGAAAUAUGCACAAAGGAUCUAAUUUUCGCUGGAAUAUUGUCGGAAGAUGACAGAUCUAUGACGGGAAGCACAAUCCCAUUUAGAGAAGACCAAAAACUACAUUAGAUGAUCUGAUUUUGGACGGAAAUUCGUUGAAAACGAGUAGAUCUUUGCCAGGGGAAAAAAAAAAGGCCCGAACUGCGCCUUCAAAUUAGCCGGAUAUGGUACGGAAAAGGAGGUGUCUGGAGGAGAAGAGAGGCCGAAAAGACGGAUGUUCACGUCUAGAGGUGUCGCUGGUGCUGGUUGUUGCUUAAAGAAGAGGGUUGGGAAAUGGAGAUCGAGAUCAGAUUUCGGGAUCUGAUCGAGCGUCGGAUUUGGAGAAUGCACAACGACGAUGGCCGCUAUUGGAAGAGAUGGGACCUACAGAACGUGAAUGGUAGAGAGCUACUACAGCUGGAUGAUGGGUUUAGAUGUGUGGCUCUGAUACCAUGUCAACCCAAGAAUUUAGAGAAUUUUCCUUGAGUAUUUUCUGUAUUGCUUCAACCCAAAGCUGCUUUGUAAAUUGCUCCUCCUUGAAAUUGAAGGAAUUCGAGGCUCCUCUCUGCAGGUUCGAUCUCUUUCUCGCUUUGUCUCUCUCUGUCGCCCUUCUCUCCAACAACUCCAUUUUCUCUGUUCUUUGCCGAGAUUUGGGUUUUCAUCCUGCCAUUUCCAGAGGAAUCUGCAAUGCAUUUCCAUUUCCUUGUUAUUUGAAGCCGAAAAUAGAAGAAAAUAGAAUUCUCCUUCUCUGCAUGGCACCAAAUUCUGCAUCAUAUCUACCUGGUACCCCUGGUGAGCAGGCGAUGACACCAGGAAAUGUUGGUUAUGGAUGUCAUGUCUCCUCUAAUAGAUGGGAUUGCAACCGCCGGAUGUAUUAGCUAUAAAUUGUAGUUUGCUUACGGCCACUUCUGACAUUUUCAGCAAGAUAUUUGAAAGAUGCCACUUUUGAAAGAAGAUAAAUGGAACUUGCUUGCCUCUUCAACACUUGCAGAACUUGUUCUCUCAAAAGAAAAAGGGAAAGAUGAUGGAGCUUCUGAUUUCUUUCCAUCGGGCUACUGGGCAGAAACCUCAACAAAUCAUAUUCUACAAGGAUGGCGUCAGCGAAGGCCAAUUUUAUCAGACUGCAUUUGUCUUCUUUAUUGUAAUAUUUUAAAACGAAGUUCUAGGACUAGUUUCAUAUGGGCGAUCUGUUUUUGUAGCUGGAUUGAGGAAAUUAAAAUGAAGUUCUAGGACAAUCUUUUCAACUUCUGUUCCUGGCAAUUCUAUUUCUGUAUCUUUUCUGUUUCUGUUUCUUUUCAAAUCGCCGAACGAAUACUUGGGCAAGCAUAGAUUGUACUUGUUUUCUUUGUUUCUAAUUUUGCUUGCCUCUGGUGGGUACUUUCCUGAAGGCCCGUAGAAAAGCUGCAGGAUUGGAAUCAAGAGAUUAUGAUCUUGAUUUAGUGGAAUUUUCCCAGGAACCAAAGUCUGGCCAGUCAUCUUCCAGGCAACAUGCUUCCAGGCCAGAAGCCUUGCCUUUGGAUUUCAUAGUGCGUCCCUGAUGUAAUUAGAUCUUGGGCUAAACAAGUCAUACAAGAUCAGCACCGUCUGAAGGUUAGUGAGUGAUUGGUUACUUGGUUGUCAUGCCUUCGUGAAGGAAACCUUUUUAUGGUUUGGCACAAAGUGGGCAGUUAUAGAUCAUAUUGGUUUGUGUUUAUAUGCCUCUUAAAAAAAGAAACUAGACAUGUCACAAGGACUGCAGCUCAGGAAUUCUUUUGCACUUGAGAUUAACUUUCGGUAAUACUACAUGAGUUAAAAGAUCGUCUAUGUGACACAUUCCACUGUAUGGCACAUUGAGAUCAUGGGUUUGAGUAACCAUGUGGUGUGCGUCAAAAAAAAAAA